GGAUCAAUUUGCUGGUCGUGCCUCUGGUACGUACUGGUAUUAUUGAUUCCUACCUUCUGACGAACCACGAUGUCAUUAAUUUGGUGUCAUGGGGAAUCAGGACUGUUACUUUGAAAAAAUUAGAGUGUUUAAAGCAGGCUCACACUUGAAUACAUUAGCAUGGAAUAAUGAAAUAGGACGUUUGAUUCUAUUUUGUUGGUUUCUAGGAUCGACGUA
rnacentral:rRNA from 1 species